rnacentral:lncRNA from 1 species
UUAAAAAAAGCAAAAUGCCAAAGCUGGAGCAAUUAGAGGACAUAUUGGGAACACUAGAAGGCUUCACAGUGAAAGAGAACUGGGACAGGUUCUUCACCAUUCGAGGCAGUGACAACGAAUUCGAGUGGUACGCUGAGUGGGCCGACCUCAGAGGUCCACUCCUCGCCCACCUCUCGAAGCUCCAGUCCCAAACCCUACCGCUGCAAAUACUCGUUCCGGGUUGCGGCGUUUCCAACCUCUCUGGUCACCUCUACGACGCUGGGUUUAAGGCCAUCACGAACAUUGACUUCUCUGAGAUUGCCGUGUCCGAUAUGCUGCAACGCAAUGCAUGCCAACGCCCUGGUAUGAAAUGGCAAGUCAUGGACAUGACCACCAUGCAGGUAAUAAAAUUAAUUACCUAUUCACAACUUGAUGAAAUUUUUGUAUUGUUAGUCCGGUUGAUCAAGAGAAUGUGCUGAUCUUUAGUAAUUUAGAAUAUCGAUUGU